GCCAGGUGUGGUGGUGCAUGCCUGUAGUCCCGGUUACUUGGGAGGCUGAGGUUGGAGGAUCACUUGAGCCCAGGAGGUCGAGGCUGCAGUGAGCUGUGAUUGUACCACUACAUUCCAGCCUGGGCAACAGAAUGAGACCCUAUCUCAA
rnacentral:SRP_RNA from 1 species